UACGUAGGGGGCAAGCGUUGUCCGGAAUCAUUGGGCGUAAAGAGCGUGUAGGCGGCCCGAUAAGUCCGCCGUGAAAGUCCAGGGCUCAACCCUGGGAUGCCGGUGGAAACUGUCGGGCUGGAGUCCGGAAGAGGCGAGUGGAAUUCCUGGUGUAGCGGUGAAAUGCGCAGAUAUCAGGAGGAACACCAACGGCGAAGGCAGCUCGCUGGGACGGUACUGACGCUGAGACGCGAAAGCGUGGGGAGCAAACAGGAUUAGAAACCCCAGUAGUCC
rnacentral:rRNA from 1 species